GUGGGGAAUAUUGGACAAUGGGCGAAAGCCUGAUCCAGCCAUGCGGCGUGUGUGAAGAAGGUCUUCGGAUUGUAAAGCACUUUAAGUUGGGAGGAAGGGUAGUAACCUAAUACGUUGCUACUUUGACGUUACCGACAGAAUAAGCACCGGCUAACUUCGUGCCAGCAGCCGCGGUAAUACGAAGGGUGCAAGCGUUAAUCGGAAUUACUGGGCGUAAAGCGCGCGUAGGUGGUUCAGUAAGUUGGAAGUGAAAUCCCCGGGCUCAACCUGGGAACUGCUUUCAAAACUGCUGAGCUAGAGUACGGUAGAGGGUGGUGGAAUUUCCUGUGUAGCGGUGAAAUGCGUAGAUAUAGGAAGGAACACCAGUGGCGAAGGCGACUACCUGGACUGAUACUGACACUGAGGUGCGAAAGCGUGGGGAGCAAACAGGAUUAGAAACCCUGGUAGUCC
rnacentral:rRNA from 1 species